rnacentral:rRNA from 1 species
UACAGAGGGUGCAAGCGUUAAUCGGAAUUACUGGGCGUAAAGCGCGCGUGGGUGGUUAGUUAAGUUGGAUGUGAAAUCCCCGGGCUCAACCUGGGAACUGCAUUCAAAACUGACUGACUAGAGUAUGGUAGAGGGUGGUGGAAUUUCCUGUGUAGCGGUGAAAUGCGUAGAUAUAGGAAGGAACACCAGUGGCGAAGGCGACCACCUGGACUGAUACUGACACUGAGGUGCGAAAGCGUGGGGAGCAAACAGGGAUUAGAUACCCUGGUAGUCCACGCCGUAAACGAUGUCAACUAGCCGUUGGGAGCCUUGAGCUCUUAGUGGCGCAGCUAACGCAUUAAGUUGACCGCCUGGGGAGUACGGCCGCAAGGUUAAAACUCA